rnacentral:lncRNA from 1 species
CACAAUAAUACUUUGCUAACUAGCUCUGUAGUACCUUAAUAUGUUUAAAUGCCCACCCCCCUGCCCCGCUUUUUUAAGGAUAUGGCUGUGGGAAACAGAAGUGGCGUGACAGAAGGGAACAGCAGAGUUCUCUGCAGCAUGACCCAGAAAGCCUCUCCCUGCUCAACUGUUGUCCAGCACCCGGUCCUCCCCUGGGGAGGGCUCUGCAGCUGUGAGCACCCUCUAAGGACUGACACUUGGCUGGAGCGUAGUGGUGCAAUCGUGGCUCACUGCAACCUAGGACUCCUGGACUCAAGCGAUCCUCCCACCUCAGCCUCCAGAGCAGCUAGGUCUGCAGGUGUGCCACCACACCCAGAUACUCCAGGACAAAUGACAAGUGAAAAAGCUGAACAGUAAUUUCAGGAACCUGAGACGCGUCCCCAGAGCAGCGGGCUGUCAGGGGGCUUUGCCGUCUUCUGACCUCAGGCUGCUCCGCUUUAGAGGACCACAGCCUACGAUUCAUGUCAGAUACGUA